GGAGGAGAGAAGGAAGGAAGGAAGGAAGGAAGGAAGGAAGGAAGGAUCCACCACACAGAUGGUUUGGUAGCACGCAUCACACAUCAGUCAUCACACACAGCGUUCAUUACUGACUUAUCUGACUAACAUUAUUAUAUUUUUAGCUCAAAUUUAUUUUAAGAUGUUUGACUCAUGUGAGAUUUUCCUUUUCUUUUCUUUUUGCCUCUAACUGUGAGUCAGGUCAUGACAAAGUGUUUGUGUUCAUUUGCUUUUUGUGUCAUAUUGUGUCAUCAUGUUAUCUUAUUAUGUCACUCCUCCUUGUUGCUGCCGUGUUGUUAUCUCUUGUAAGUCUUGUUGUGUCAUCCAGUUAUAUCCUCGACAUCAACAAGACAACAGCUGGAGUGACACAGCAGCUGAUUCUGCACCCAGUCGGCCACAGCCACCAGCAGCUUGUGUUUCACCAUCCUCUCAUUCACCUGAAUCAGCCGGAUGUCUAAAUUCACGCUGAUCUGAAGCAACGAAAACAAGUUUUAAAAUCACUCAUUCCACAUUUAAGGAUGAAGAUGAUGGCGGUGGUGAGGAAGAUGGAGACCAGGCUGACAGAGAGGCAGAGGACCCAGUAGUCGCUGACGGUGAUGUAGAGGUGGAGAGUGGAGAAGACGGCACAC